GAUGAAGAACGUAGUGAAAUGCGAUACGUAAUGUGAAUUGCAGAUUUCAGUGAAUCAUCGAAUCUUUGAACGCACAUUGCGCCCGCCAGUAUUCUGGCGGGCAUGCCUGUUCGAGCGUCAUUUCAACCAUCAAGCCUUCGCUUGUGUUGGGGCCCCGCGGCUGCCGCGGUCCCCUAAAUCCAGUGGCGGGCUCGUCGUCGUACCGAGCGCAGUAGACAUCCUCGCUCCGGGAACCCGACGGGUGCCGGCCGUGAAACCCCCCACAUCAAGGUUGACCUCGGAUCAGGUAGGAAUACCCGCUGAACUUAAGCAUAUCAAUAAGCGGAGGA
rnacentral:misc_RNA from 1 species